rnacentral:rRNA from 1 species
UCGGACCUACGGGAGGCAGCAGUGGGGAAUCUUCCGCAAUGGGCGAAAGCCUGACGGAGCAAUGCCGCGUGAGUGAAGAAGGCCUUCGGGUUGUAAAACUCUGUCCUUAUCGAAGAGAGGUGGGUAUGUGAAUAAUGAACUCAUAGGACGGUAGAUAAGGAGGAAGCCCCGGCUAACUACGUGCCAGCAGCCGCGGUAAUACGUAGGGGGCGAGCGUUGUCCGGAAUCACUGGGCGUAAAGGGCGCGUGGGCGGUUUAAUAUGUCAGUGGUGAAAACUG